UUGGGUCACGUGAUCCGCUCAGCUCUGCGUCCGUAGACAUCUGCAAAAUGGAGGACCGUGGCGCUAAAGAGCCUGAGCAGCUCAGAAAGCUGUUCAUUGGAGGUCUGAGCUUUGAAACUACGGAGGAGAGUUUACGGGCCCAUUUUGAACAAUGGGGUACCCUUACAGAUUGUGUGGUAAUGAGAGAUCCUAACAGCAAACGAUCAAGAGGGUUUGGCUUUGUAACAUACUCGUCUGUAAGGGAAGUCGAUGAUGCCAUGAAAGCAAGACCUCAUAAAGUAGAUGGCCGAGUUGUAGAGCCCAAGAGGGCUGUGUCCCGAGAGGACUCCAAUAAACCAGGCGCCCAUCUGACAGUGAAGAAGAUCUUUGUUGGUGGCAUCAAGGAAGAUACUGAGGAGUACCACAUUCGCGAGUAUUUUGAGAAAUAUGGAAAGAUCGAAUGCAUUGACAUCAUGGAGGAACGCUCCACAGGGAAGAAGAGAGGAUUCUGCUUUGUCACUUUUGAUGACCAUGAUACUGUAGACAAAAUUGUUGCCCAGAAAUUCCACACAAUCAAUUUCCACAAUUGUGAAGUCAGGAAAGCUCUGUCAAAACAGGAAAUGAGUGCUAUAUCCAAUAACAGGGGCAGGAGCGGGGGAUCGGGAAAUUUCAUGGGCAGAGGUGGUAAUUUUGGAGGCGGCAGCAACUUUGGCAGAGGUGGCUAUGGUGGAGGACGGGGUGGAUAUGGGGAUGAUUUUGACAAUGGUCCAGGAGGAAAUUAUGGUGGCGGACCAGGUUAUGGAGGUGGCCGAGGGGGCUACGGAGGUGGAGGUCCUGGGUAUGGCAACCAGGGUGGAGGAUUUGGUGGCAACUGUGACGGAGGCUAUGGAGGUAAUGGUGGAGGAUAUGGAGGUGGUGGAAAUUACAAUGACUUUGGAAACUAUGGUGGUCAGCAGUCAAACUAUGGGCCCAUGAAGGGAAACAGCUUUGGAGGCAGGAACUCAGGUGGACCCUAUGGCGGUGGAUACGGCUCCGGUGGUGGCAGCGGCGGCUACGGCUCUCGGCGAUAUUAAUUAUUUAAUGUUGUGGCUUCAGUUCUUAGCAGCAGAGGCGAGGAGGUGAGCAAAGGAAUUGUCAGGAAAGCUGCAGGUUACUUUGAGGCAGUCAUCUGAAAGAAUUAGAGGAACACACAAGUCAGAAAUUACUGCAGCUAAAUCGGAGAAGUUUAUGGAAGAAGGACUGUAUACAAGACAUGAGUGCAGAUGAUACUCUACCCUAAUUGUGAUAGAUGUUUCCCUACUGAGCAAUUUUUCCUUCUGUGCGUCUGAAGUGUGUGUGUAUUGUGCCUGUGGUAUCAGGGAUAAAGAGUAAAGUGUUUUGGGGUUGCUAUGUUUUUUUUGGUUUUUUUAAUCUGAAGUCAGUUCUAAAUAUCUUUAUUUUUCUUUUUUAUAUGGGUAAGUUUUCUGCUGGCCAAUUAACCUUUGUCUUUUAACCUGGUUUUUGUCACAUAGAAUAAUAAUUUUAGGUCCUUAGAUAAGAUAGCUUUAUACAUUCAUUCUAAAGUUAUUAUGAUUUCACAAUUGCAAGUGUCAAGUGUAUUUUUUGAUUUUGUAUGUAAAGCUCAGUGUGUAAAUCCCUCGUAGUACCAGUGUCAACAAUUACAAGCAGUCUGGAGUAGAAUUAAGGGAAUCCCUCACUCUUCUUGUUCCCAGCAAACCGAAUUAUAGAUUGUUCAAAUAUUUUGAUUAGUUGAAAAAGACCGAAUAAAAUUGUGUAGUAAAGUAACAUGAGGUUCAGUGCAUCUUUGGUUCAGAAAAAGAUGAAAUGAGUUAUUAAUAUAUCUGUUGCUUGCUUAUUGUGACUGAAGUGUAGCAAAUCAGCUGGUCCACAACUUUCCCAUCUGGUGGAGUAUUAUUUAGGAGCUCUGUGACGUGAAAAUAGUGUAUGCGUGUUGCAUUCAUGUACUUGUACCAGGGUCAAUAUAAAGGGAGUUUUGGGUAGUCCUAGUGAAGGGCCCAGACACCACUUACGCAAGUAGGAUAACAGCUACAAGCACCAGCAUUUUGGGCUUCAGCGUCACUAGUGUGGAAGAUUUGCAGAUGACUGUCAGACAGGACGUCUUCAGCCCCAGCACAGUGGACCAGUCAGCAGUUUGAGAGAGAAGGGAGAAGGCAGCAUCGAGCACAACGCCCAUGGAGGAAGCUUGCAGUGUCGUGCCUGAUAAUGUGGAAAGAGGAAUUCUCUUCUUGCUGAAAAUCUGUAAAGACCUGAUAACAUGGAAGGUUCUGGAUGGGUAAGACUUUUUUUUUUUUUUUUUUUUUAAAUAUUGUCCAAGCCUGCUCAUAUUUCAAUCUAAUGCUGAUUACACAAGGUGCAAAACACAGGGUGUUUUAAGAUAAACAGAGCAGGUUGACCUUCAGUAUUUGUCUACUUUGAGCAGAAUCAGCAUGUGCCCUUCACCCCACUGCUCGGUACGCUUUGAAGCCAAAUACUCUUUAUGCUUAUCAUCAGUAUAUUUUAAAGCUCAAAUAAAGGUGGUGGUGAUUGAACACUUGAAACAGAAAGAUUAUCAUCCAUUCCAAGAAAGGAAGUUAAGAAAGUUUUAUAAGUAACUACUUUCAGUUGCUCCCCUACUUCAGAGGGUAGGUCUGCAUAUUUCAUUUGACCAAAUCCUACACCCAAUGCCCUUCUUGGCACAACCCUCCAAGGGAUUUGUAUCUCCUUCCAGGAUCAAACUGAGUAAAUGUGUAAACCACUACACAAGGAGCUCCCAUUUUUAGUUUUAUCAUGUAUCAAACAAUCCUAAUCCCAAAAGGUGCAAAGUCAGAAAAAUCAACAGUUAUAAUAUUACAGUAUCAAUUCACACAGUAUAAACUGUGACUUAUUAAAUAAGCACUUUAAACUGGAGGCUGAGGCUCUCCUAAAGCUAACAUUUUUAAAAAGAAAUGUAACCAAUUUUUUAAAAGAAUUGUUUAAAAAAAACUAUCAGCAGGGGUCACAGGCACGUAUAGCAUUAAAUGUGAGCAUACUCAAAUAUUGGUGUAAUAGAUGAAAGCAUAGUAUUUUUCCAUUACAGGCCAUUUACAAAGUGCUUCCAUUUGUUUCAGUUCUCAGAGUAGCCAAGUAAGCCAGCAAAUUGAGGGACUUUUUGUAAAGUUUCCAUAAUCAUGACAAGUCCUCCUACAGCACAUAUACCUUGUAGUUUUUAGAAGUGAUGAAUGAUCUGUCAUCAAAUGCAUAAAAAUAAACUUGACAUUUAAUUAUUUUUUUAACUUAUUUCUGAUUUAUAUGUAUUCAUGUUUGUGAUACUUUGGUCGUGUUGCGACUAGGUGGACAAAGUUUAGGUGUCAAAUGUUUUGAUUCCACAUACUUUAUGUCUAGACUGCUCAGUAUAAAAAACAAAAACGGUGCCCACUGUUAUCCUGUCUCUCCCAGGAUAUUAUCUUUGCAAAGGCAUGUAAAAUAACCAGCCUCAUGUCAGGAGAGACAAAGAGCGAGUCAACGAAGGAAAGAAAAGGAAAACUUAUUUGUUAAGGGCACACCAGUGAACCAUUUUGUCUGCUAAGCAGAAUAUGUAACGUUUGACUUAUGUGUUUGAAUAAAGGGAUUUUUCAUGA